AUUUUGACAUAUGCGUGCACGUUGCGCAUAUGUGAAACAAUAAAUAUUUUAUUAAUAUAAAUGUUAAAGACAUUGUAACACAUCAAUAAAAAUAACACAAGAAUUGAAAACAUUACAUUAUAAAGUGCAUAUAGGUUAACAAGUUUUGUGACAUGCCUAAUAGAUAAACGUCGAAUCAACGAAUCAAUUUGUCUUAAUCGUCAACUGAAGAAUGAAACCUAUAAGAAAUGAAUUAGGAAGAAGUACAUGGAGAAUAGGCUAUCGCGCUCUAAUCUCGCCCAGAAUUUUGGAUGCCUCGUCAAGCUACAAAUAUUUUUCUGGUGCUCGGUUAAAUAAGCUGUA